CUCACACAGAGUUCAGGGCAAGUAUGUCGUGCUCAGUGCCAAAAAAGGUUGACUCAACAACUUUCGACUCAACACAGUGAUGCUCAAGAAAUCAUGUCCUGCUUACUCUAAUCCACAUACGUCCCUGUUACAUGCUGAACUCACAGUUUUCAAAGGGACCACAUAGAAAGUAGUUCUGAUAUGAGCCACUGGCAGGCCUGUCAAGCUUUGGAUUUAUCCACAUGCUAAAGCAGUGUGAACUGGGCUGUAGGACUUGGUAAGCAAAGAGUUUGGAGGUUAGUAUCUUUAUCACCUUUCUAAAACUAUAAACACAACAGAAAUAAUGUAAGGAAGGAAUUAAACAGUGUUUAUCUGCUCAAA